rnacentral:tRNA from 1 species
AGUGUUUUUUUGUAGUGCUAGCACCCUUGGUUUUCAACCGAGAGGUCUUGGGUUCGACUCCCAGGAACUCUC